UGAACGUAUGACAACCAAUUAGCAGCUGUAAAAGGGAUGUUUCAAGCCUCAUUUCCUGAUUGCAUUCAUCUAUAUAUAGCCAUGGACUUACAGGAUUCAAAAUAACUUGGGAGAAGGCUAGAGAAACUCACCAGAAAUGUAGUUUUCACUAGAGUUUCCUUGGUUCAUUAGUAUAGUAUAGGUAGAGUAGUUUAUCCAUCUUGUAUUUGUAGUUAGAUUUGGAUGAAGAUUGGAGGGGCAAAGAUGAAGAGGUUGAUCUCAUGUGACAAGGGUGAUAUCUCUUCUACUACUUUCUCUCUUGUAUUGGAUUUCAUGUUUAAUUAUAAUACA
rnacentral:lncRNA from 1 species